rnacentral:ncRNA from 1 species
GGACCACCCUCUAAGCCUAAGUAUUCCUCAAUGACCGAUAGCGUACAAGUACCGUGAGGGAAAGGUGAAAAGAACCCCAAUCGGGGAGUGCAAUAGAGAACCUGAGAUCCGAUGCGAACAAUCAGU